GGGGAAUCUUGCGCAAUGGGCGAAAGCCUGACGCAGCAACGCCGCGUGCGGGAUGAAGGCCUUCGGGUUGUAAACCGCUUUCAGCAGGGACGAAAUUGACUGUACCUGCAGAAGAAGCCCCGGCUAACUACGUGCCAGCAGCCGCGGUAAUACGUAGGGGGCAAGCGUUAUCCGGAUUCAUUGGGCGUAAAGAGCGCGUAGGCGGAUUGUUAAGUCAGAUGUGAAAACCGGGGGCUCAACCCGCGGCCUGCAUCUGAAACUGGCAGUCUUGAGUCUGGUAGAGGAGUGUGGAAUUCCCAGUGUAGCGGUGAAAUGCGCAGAUAUUGGGAGGAACACCAGUGGCGAAGGCGGCACUCUGGGCCACGACUGACGCUGAGGCGCGAAAGCUAGGGGAGCAAAC
rnacentral:rRNA from 1 species